AGCCUGGAGACAGGUGCUGCAUGGCUGUCGUCAGCUCGUGUCGUGAGAUGUUGGGUUAAGUCCCGCAACGAGCGCAACCCUUGUCUUUAGUUGCCAUCAUUCAGUUGGGCACUCUAAAGAGACUGCCGGUGUCAAACCGGAGGAAGGUGGGGAUGACGUCAAGUCCUCAUGGCCUUUAUGACCAGGGCUACACACGUACUACAAUGGCCGGUACAAAGGGCAGCCACUUAGCGAUAAGGAGCCAAUCCCGUAAAGCCGGUCUCAGUCCGGAUUGGAGUCUGCAACUCGACUCCAUGAAGUUGGAAUCGCUAGUAAUCGCAGAUCAGCACGCUGCGGUGAAUACGUUCCCGGGCCUU
rnacentral:rRNA from 1 species